rnacentral:rRNA from 1 species
GAUGAACGCUGGCGGCGUGCCUAAUACAUGCAAGUCGAGCGAACAGACGAGGAGCUUGCUCCUCUGACGUUAGCGGCGGACGGGUGAGUAACACGUGGAUAACCUACCUAUAAGACUGGGAUAACUUCGGGAAACCGGAGCUAAUCCCGGAUAAUCUAUUGAACCGCAUGGUUCAAUAGUGAAAGUCGGUUUUGCUGUCACUUAUAGAUGGAUCCGCGCCGCAUUAGCUAGUUGGUAAGGUAACGGCUUACCAAGGCGACGAUGCGUAGCCGACCUGCGAGGGUGAUCGGCCACACUGGAACUGGGACACGGUCCAGACUCCUACGGGAGGCAGCAGUAGGGAAUCUGCCGCAAUGGGCGAAAGCCUGACGGAGCAACGCCGCGUGAGUGAUGAAGGUCUUCGGAUCGUAAAACUCUGUUAUUAGGGAAGAACAAAUGUGUAAGUAACUAUGCACGUCUUGACGGUACCUAAUCAGAAAGCCACGGCUAACUACGUG